UACGUAGGGUGCGAGCGUUGUCCGGAAUUACUGGGCGUAAAGAGCUCGUAGGUGGUUUGUCGCGUUGUUCGUGAAAACUCACAGCUCAACUGUGGGCGUGCGGGCGAUACGGGCAGACUGGAGUACUGCAGGGGAGACUGGAAUUCCUGGUGUAGCGGUGGAAUGCGCAGAUAUCAGGAGGAACACCGGUGGCGAAGGCGGGUCGCUGGGCAGUAACUGACGCUGAGGAGCGAAAGCGUGGGGAGCGAACAGG
rnacentral:rRNA from 1 species